rnacentral:rRNA from 1 species
UACGUAGGUGGCGAGCGUUGUCCGGAAUUACUGGGUGUAAAGCGCGCGUAGGCGGGAGGCCAAGUCCGCUGUGAAAUCGCCCGGCUCAACUGGGCGCGGUCGGUGGAAACUGGUCACCUGGAGGACGGUAGAGGCGAGUGGAAUUCCCGGUGUAGUGGUGAAAUGCGCAGAUAUCAGGAGGAACACCUAUUGCGAAGGCAGCUCGCUGGGACGUUACUGACGCUGAGACGCGAAAGCAUGGGGAGCGAACAGG